AGUAUAUUUUACUCUCCCUAGGAGUAUACUUUUCUCCCCUUUGGCAUAAUAAAAAAGGCAAAAAAAAGAUGCUAGCAAGAAAUGAUAAAUAAGCAAACACAUAGUUUGCAAAGAGCAUACAUGAAUUACCAAAAAAGGGAAAAAAACAUUACUUUACUUAAAUGUAAUGAGUACAUGGGAAGGAAACCGCAUGGAAUAGAAAUAACAAAAGAAAAAAGAAA
rnacentral:lncRNA from 1 species